rnacentral:misc_RNA from 1 species
CACUACUCCAACCACACCCUUUUCUUCAGGCCAGAAGAAGAGUAUAUAUCUAUGAUCUGUCCCCUCAUACCAAUUUCAGUUCAACUGAACUCUUCCUCUUUUCUCCUUCUCUUUCGGUUCUUUUAUUCGCCUAUAGCUUAGGUGGGCUUUGCCUUUUAUUUACAGAGAUGGCUCCAAUGCUCAUGCUCAUAGAUUGUUCUCUCAGGCUCUCUGUGAUUCCUCUCAGUGUUGCAACCAUUUGGUUAACUGUGACCAACCAUCAGGACAACAGCAGCUAUGGAAAUUUACACUACAGCAAUCUCAUGGGCCUCAAGUACAUGGUUUGUAUCAGUGCCAUUUGUGCUGGUUAUGCUAUUGUUGCUGCUGUGUCUCUAUGGAUCAGAUUCUUAGUUAAUAAAGUUUGGUGGCUCUUUGUCUCUGAUCAGAUUAUUACUUACUUAAUGGUCACAUCUGUGGCUGCAAUCAUGGAGCUGCUGUACUUAGCUUAUAAUGGUGAUCAGAAAGUCACAUGGAGUGAAGCCUGCCGUUCUUAUGGAAAGUUCUGCACUAGAAUGAAGCUAGCAUUGAUUCUCCAUGCCGUGGCUCUUUUCUGCUUCAUUGUUUUAGCUGUAAUAUCUUCUUAUAGAGCUUUCAGCACGUUUGAGACUCCAGUUUCUUCUAAAGAAGUUGAAGAAGAUACAAGUUAGAUACUGAUAUCCAUCACUUUGAUGCAUGUUGCUUUGUAAUGCUAUUUAGAUUUAGAUUUUAUUCAAUUAAUGUCAGCAUAUGAUUGAAUGAAAAUUGA